AUAUCCAUGGUCAUGGCUCAUCAUUAGUCGCACUGCUCUCCUUUUCUCAAAGUUUAAAUUCGACAUUUGGUAAAAUGAUGAAACCUCGAUGGAACUGCUCUCUUUAUGGAAUCACGGAAUGGACAAAUAAUCAAAAUCAGAAAUCGAAGCGAAAAGGGAGGAGAAAAACGCAGAUUUGGAGGAUUGGGGACAGAUUAGAUACUGUUGAAUGCAUCACUCUAAUGCUAUCAGCCUAUUAAUAGCGUCCUAUAUUUUCGAAGACUUUUAAUGUUUAGGGUUAUGGAUUUUUCGAGCGAAGCAUGGAGAGAUGUUGAAUUGGAUACUAUAGGAUUUGGUACAACACAUACAUAUGUUCUGCUUCUGCAAAACUAACAUAUCAAGUUCAGAGAAACCAAUGCUUUAGAAGGUUUGCGGAGUAGCUAGAGAAUCUGGUAUCUUCAGUUCUUCAAUUUCAGCUACUUGGUAUCAGCUUCGUCAUUGUAUAUCAACACAUUCUUAAUAUAUAAUACUACUUUUUCAUCCAUUAAACCCCUUACAAUGUCGAGUAAACGAAGCAUCUGUCCCCUGG
rnacentral:misc_RNA from 1 species